UAAAAGUUUCUUAAAACAUACAAAGCAUCCAUUUAGGCAAGAGUACCAAGUACUCUUAUUCCUUUUCUGCCGCCUCAUUUCACCCAUGUUUUUGUGGGUGUUCUUCAAGCUUGAACCUUGCAAGUGUGGUUUUGAUCAAUUCCUUCAAGCACUGGUGAAAAAAUGUGCUACCCCUCAGAUUCACCCCUUUCUGUUCUGCUGCUGGAUCAGCUUGCUCCUCACUGGUUCGAAGCAAUCUGAGGUGAUGUAGCGACCAUGUACUCCUGUUAUUGUUGUUAUUAGGGACCCCCUUACGAUCUCUGUAAUUAAAAUUAGUAUCAUCUAUUUAAGCAUGCUUUCCUGUUCCAUUGUUACUGCUUGACUAUCUUGCAUGUUCUGAUUCGGAGAUUAGGGAUUUGAGUCUUAUCCAUGUUGAGUAACUUUCUUACCUUAACCGAAAGUUGUAUGAAUAUGCUGAAUUCCAUUUC